CCCACGCCGAGCUGCCGCCGUGAUGCCCCGCUGGGAAGGCUGUGAGGAGCUGCUGCUCAUGGCUCUCGGGCCCUGGGAGGGCGUUUGGGGCAUGUUUCCAGUAGUUGCUGAAACCAUUUGUGUCCAGGAUCCUCCCAGCUUCUCCCCUGCUCAGCACAGGCUGCCAAUGUACGCUUUUCCUUGUUGGAAUGGAAAGAUGCUUCUGGAUUAGCUGAAGAGCUCCAAGACUUAAGUCCUCCGGCGUGUACCCGGCUAACUUCUCUUUUGAACACGAAGUGCUAUUUGGGCAUUUUUGCCAAUUGGUUCUGAUAUGUAUCUGCCAUCGAGGCCUGUCAGUUUGGAGGAUUUGGAUCUGAAUGCCUUGUGACCUGUCUGCACAGCAAAUACCCCAUAUGGCUGACCUUAGCCUCCAGCAUCUGAACCAGUACCACAAAACCAAAAGCUUCUACUCUGAGCACAUUGUCCGACAUGAUCUGAGGCCACCAGGUCUUCGCCGCAGCAUGUGGGAUCUUCAGCUGUGGCAUGCAAGCUUAGUUGAAGCCUGUGGGAUCUAGUUCCCUGACCAGGGAUAAAACCCCCGCCUUCUGCAUCGGGAGCUCGGAAUCUUAGCCCCCGGACCACCAGCGAAGUUCUGAGAACAACUUUUUAUACCAAGAGGGGCAUCAGACUUAUUUGUUUAAAUUCUACAUUUCAUUUUUCUCUCCCUGUAUUAGUUUACUAGGGCUGCCAUAACAAAAUACCACAGAGCAGUUGGCUUAAACAACGCGUAUAUUUAUUUCUAAUACUUCUGGAGGCCAAGUCUCAGAUCUCAGUGUUGGCAUGCUUGGGUUUUUCCUGAAAGCUCUGUCCCUGGUUUGCAGAGGGUGUCAUACCCACUGUGUUCUCACUCGGCCUUACACGUGUCCCUGGAGGCUGACACUGCUUCCUCAUCUCCUACAAGACGAGUCAGAUUGGAUUAGGGUCCAGCCUAACCACCUCGCUGCAAUCUAAUUACCUCUUUAAAGGCCUGACCUUCCAAAUAUACUCACAUUUUGAAGUCCCGGAGUUAAGAGUUUCAACAUACAAAUUUGGAAGGGGUGGGGGUAUAAGAUUCAGUCCCUAACACUCCCUGAGUAAUCAAACAUUUCGGGGGAUUCUGGUGACGAGCAAUUCAGUUCCUAAAGAAGAACAGGAGAUAGUUUGCGAUAGACGGUAUCACAGGCUUGACUUUUUAAGUCCCGCAUCCCCACCCCUGGGGUACAGCCAGCUAAUAAAUGUUUCAUUGUUUUAACUCAU